rnacentral:lncRNA from 1 species
GGUUGCACCUUGAGAUCAAAGUAAAAAUGAACAUGCACAAUUAUGGUAAUUUUACAAAGUUGAUUGUGAGAGCCAUUAGGGCGGAAGAGAUUGAAAAAAAAUUCUAUAGCUGUAGGCAGGAAAAGGGCAAGAGAAAUGUGCAGAGUUUCUUCAUGGGUAUAGGGAGAAAUCAGCCAUCAAAGAUGAUUAAUACUUUUGGACAACCCAAUCAGAAUUUCAGAGCAUCAAUAGAGUCAGACAUGGAUUCUUUUGCUUUUACCAGCCCAGAAUAGAAGAGGAUAGAACAAAGAUUUAUGUCACAGUCAGCAAGAAGUAAGGUGACAGGAGGAAGGGAGAACCAGGAUAGCUCUAAUAGGGGUGCCAGUCCAGUUGCUACUUCACCAAGCCAAGUCUCUCAAUGUGCAAACUGUAGGAAGUUCCAUUCUAGAGAAUAUAGAAAAUGAUUUGGAGGAUGUUUUGGGUGUGGAUUAAUGGGUCAUCAGAGGAAGGAUUGCCCUAAAAAUGCUCAAGCUAAGGGUCUUCCACCAAGGCCAAAUGCUCCACAGGGAUUUCAAGCUAGGGGUAGCAAUUACAUUGCUAAUGCAUAAGUAAAUAAGGUGGGGACUAGUACCAGUAGGUAGGAUGCUAUACCAGGC